GUUUUUAUAGUUUAAAAAAAACAUUGGUCUUGUAAACCAAAAAUAAUUAUAAUAUUUAAAAACU
rnacentral:tRNA from 1 species